AUGUCUGUUCUCAAGGUCCAGGCCAGAGAGAUCUUUGACUUUUGUGGGAACUCCACUGUUGAAGUUGAUCUCUAUACCACAAAAGGUUUCUUCAGAGCUACUGUGCCCAGUGGCGCCUCAACUGGUAUCAAUGAGGCCCUAGAGCUCUGGCACAGUGAUAAGACAUGCUAUAUGGGGAAGAGUGUCUCAAAGGCUGUUGAGCACAUCAAUAAAACUAUUGAGCAUGCUCUGGUUAGCAAGAAACUGAACGUCAUGAAGCAGGAGAAGAUCAACAAACUGAUUAUUGAGAUGGGAUGGGAUGGAACAUAAAUCUAAGUUUGGUGCAAACGCCAUUCUUGGGGUGUCUCUUGCUGUCUGCAAAGCUGGUGCUGUUGAAAAGGGCACUCCCCUGUACCACCACAUCACCAACUUGGCUGGCAACUCUGAGGUCAUCCUGCCAGUCCUGACCUUCAAUGUCAUCAACGGUGGUUCUCAUGCCGGCAGCAAGCUGGCCAUGCAGGAGUUCAUGAUCCUCCCCAUCGGGGAAGCAAACUUCAGGGAAGUCAUGCGCAUUGGCACAGAGGUUUAAUACAACCUGAAGAAAGUUGUCAAGGAGAAAUAAUGGAAUGAUGCCACCAAUGUGGUGGGUUUGCUUCUAACAUCCUGGAGAAUAAGGAAGGCCUGGAGCUGCUGAAGACUGCAAUGGGGAAGACAGGCUACACAGACAAGAUGGUCAUUAGCAUGGACGUGGUCGCCUUUGAGUUCUUCAGGUCUGGGAAGUAUAACCUGGACUUUAAGUCUCCCGAUGAUCCCAGCAGGUACAUCUCAUCUGACCAGCUGGCUGACCUGUACAAGUCCUUCAUUAAGGAAUACCCAGUGGUGUCCACUGAAGAUCCUUUCUACCAAGAUGACUGGAGCAUCUGGUAGAAGUUCACUGCCAGAAUUGGGAUCCAGGUGGUGGGGAACGACCUCACAGUGACCAACCCCAAGCACAUCACCAAGGCUGUGGUUGAGAGGUUGUGUAAACCUACUGCUCAAAGUGAACCAGAUCAGCUCUGUGACCGAGUCCCUCCAAGUGCACAAGCUGUCCCAGGCCAAUGGCUGGAGUGUCAUAGUGUCUCAUCACUCUGGGGAAACUGAAGACACCUUCAUUGCUGACCUGGUGGUGAGGCUCUGCACUGGGCAGAUCAAGACUGAUGCACCUUGCCAAUCCAAGUGCCUGGCCAAGUAUAACCAGGUCCUCAGGAUUGAAGAAGAGUUGGGCAGCAAGGCCAAGUUUGCUGGCAGGAACUUCAGAAACUCCCUGGUCAAGUAUGCUGUGGGCAGGCGAACCCUGUGCCUUCAUCUCAGGGCGGCCAAAAGACCCCUCUCCAGACAUCAGCACAGGCGACUUGAGGUCCCUGACCAACCCUUGUCGGGACCUCUGCUAGUUAACUCCCCUCACCCACGCCCAUGGUGUUGUCACCGCUUCCGUAGACCUCCAUAG